rnacentral:lncRNA from 1 species
CCUUUGAAAUUUUUAUUACAUGUAUAUUGUAUAAACCCUACAAAAUCUUGUAAUAUUUGAGUUAAUAUUUUAUUUAAUACAAAUUGGAGAUUGAGGGCUGGUUAGUAACUUUUUGCUACUAUAGAAAAGGGAUAUCAAGAUGAAUAUGGUUAUUGAAAUAGUUCCUUGAGGAGAACAGAACCUAUAAUUUUAUAUGUAUUCGAUGAUGUUGAUGGGAUUUUGAUUUUGAUGUCAGGUUACGGUGCUUAAUUUAGGAGGUUAAAGUUAUUAUCGUAACUACCGAAAGGAAAUAUGGGAUAUCAUGCAUUUGCAUUGUAUAUAAGUAUGUGUGUAUUUUAAUUACUAUAUGAAAAAUUAGUUUUUUAAUUGAGUUUUGUACUCAUUAUAGUUUAUUGUAAUUCCCAAAAAUUUGACUAAUUCAUAAUGAGUGAGGACAAGGACUUCAAGUGGGGAUUGUAGAUGGUUCGGCAAUUUUAAAGCCUUCCGCUGCUUCAGGAUUGGAUUUUUAUGUAUUGUAUAGAGAUGAUUAUGGUCAUUCUUAACUUGUAUCUAAAGACUAUUCUCGGAUUCCCUUCGAAGUUUGGGAAGGUCAAUACAAUCCUAUCCUUUUUUUCUUUGUUAAAUAUUAAUGAUGAUAUAGCUUUUAUUAAUCAACUCAUGUAUUCUAUUGGGCCACAUA